rnacentral:rRNA from 1 species
CCAGACUCCUACGGGAGGCAGCAGUAAGGGAUAUUGGUCAAUGGGGGAAACCCUGAACCAGCAACGCCGCGUGAGGGAAGACGGUUUUCGGAUUGUAAACCUCUGUCCUCUGUGAAGAUGAUGACGGUAGCAGAGGAGGAAGCUCCGGCUAACUACGUGCCAGCAGCCGCGGUAAUACGUAGGGAGCGAGCGUUGUCCGGAUUUACUGGGUGUAAAGGGUGCGUAGGCGGCUUGGCAAGUCAGUAGUGAAAUCCAUGGGCUUAACCCAUGAACUGCUAUUGAAACUGUCGAGCUUGAGUGAAGUAGAGGUAGGCGGAAUUCCCGGUGUAGCGGUGAAAUGCGUAGAGAUCGGGAGGAACACCAGUGGCGAAGGCGGCCUACUGGGCUUUAACUGACGCUGAGGCACGAAAGCGUGGGUAGCAAACAGGAUUAGAUACCCGAGUA